GACGAACGCUGGCGGCGUGCCUAAUACAUGCAAGUCGAACGCAGUGGGGACGGGUGAGUAACACGUUGGUAACCUCCCAUUCGAGGGGAUAACACUUGGAAACAGGUGCUAAACCGGUACUGCUGGUUGAUGCGGGGUUGCAUUAGCUAGUUGGUGAGGUAACGGCGCACCAAGGCCACGAUGCAUCGCCGGCCUGAGAGGGUGAUCGGCCAAACUGGAACUGAGACACGGCCCAGACUCCUACGGGAGGCAGCAGUGGGGAAUAUUGCACAAUGGGCGCAAGCCUGAUGCAGCCAUGCCGCGUGUAUGAAGAAGGCCUUCGGGUUGUAAAGUACUUUCAGCGGGGAGGCGUUACCCGCAGAAGAAGCACCGGCUAACUCCGUGCCAGCAGCCGCGGUAAUAC
rnacentral:rRNA from 1 species